rnacentral:lncRNA from 1 species
AACACAGUUCUCUUAAGACCAGUUCUUUAAAAUUAGUACAUCAUCUGAAUUCUCCUAGCCUAUGUGUAUAAACUAAUGGAAUUCCUCCUCUUGCUCUUGGGUGGCCAUAAAAGGCAAUGUGUUGUGUAAACUAGUGUUUUAGUACUGCUACAAUCAGAUCCAUACAUUUUUUUUGAGUCAUGCCACUACUAUGUACUAGAUGCAUAAGCUUAGUACGUUUCCUAUAAAAUGAAAUAUGAUAGCAUGCUAUAUGGUUCCUUUCUCUCCACCUCCAAAUAAAAACAAACAGAUGAGCAAUAUAGCCUACUCAGGAUAAACAAAAAUGUAGAGCAUGAAUGAUGUGGACUCUGAUCAUUUCGGCUCAUUCAAUUCACAGUUACUUUCUCUGGCUAUUACCUGCUCUUUGGAUAGCUGGACAGUCCGUUUGGAAUAGUAAACAUAUCGUUCUGUUCUCAUGUCACUGGAAGGCUAUUGUAUGUUUGCUUGUUUAUUUGGUUUGGUUGAGUUAGAUUGGUAUGGAUUGGUUCUUGUAGUGGGCUUGUUUUAUUAGAAGUUCCAGACAGGUUUUACUAAUAUUUAACAUCUGGAAGGACUGAAGGUUUCUGUUCCUUCCCAGGAUCCUCUUAUACUCAUUAUACAAUAAGCUCUAUAUUAAUCUAUUUCAUGCAAAUAUACAGCACAUGCCUUUACGCUCUAUCUCUGACUUUCAUAGGUGCAUGUAUGAGAAAAAAGUGUUGUGUAUUCUAAGACUUCUCGAGUGAUAGAGAGGUAAUGAUAGCUAAUUUUGAGGAUGAAUGUGUGUAAACUGCAUAAUAGACUUACCUUACUUUACUCAUAUAUUUAUAUGAGAAUAGCAUUGUUACCUGAGGUAAUUGAAGCACAGAAAGAUUAAGUAGCCUGUCCAAGGUUAGACACUGGUAAGUAAAGGAGCCAGUCUUUCCAACCCAAGAGGGUGGGCUUUUAGCCAAUAAGUUCUUCUGCCAUCCUACAAGUAUGUAUUUACAGGAAAUAACUUAUUGACUUAAGUCAUGGACUUAUUGAUUCAGGCUAUUCUCAUAUUUUAAUAAUUCUUCAUGUUUAUGGUUUUUUUUAGACUACAAGUUUCCUUAUGGACUCAGAUAUAUUAAUUUAUAAGAAUUAUCAAAUUGGGCACAAAAAAUUUACAAUUUUUUGAAGUCUCCCAAACUCUCCCUUUAACCCUUAAUGCCCAGUGUUAGAUGACUACUAGUUAUGAAUCCAGUAGGGUCCUAUACUCAGUGCCUACUUAUGCUUUCCUUCCUUAGUAAACUCACCC